AGACCCGAAACCCGGUGAUCUAGCCAUGGGCAGGUUGAAGGUUGGGUAACACUAACUGGAGGACCGAACCGACUAAUGUUGAAAAAUUAGCGGAUGACCUGUGGCUGGGGGUGAAAGGCCAAUCAAACCGGGAGAUAGCUGGUUCUCCCCGAAAGCUAUUUAGGUAGCGCCUCGUGAACUCAUCUCCGGGGGUAGAGCACUGUUUCGGCUAGGGGGCCAUCCCGGCUUACCAACCCGAUGCAAACUGCGAAUACCGGAGAAUGUUAUCACGGGAGACACACGGCGGGUGCUAACGUCCGUCGUGAAGAGGGAAACAACCCAGACCGCCAGCUAAGGUCCCAAAGUCAUGGUUAAGUGGGAAACGAUGUGGGAAGGCCCAGACAGCCAGGAUGUUGGCUUAGAAGCAGCCAUCAUUUAAAGAAAGCGUAAUAGCUCACUGGUCGAGUCGGCCUGCGCGGAAGAUGUAACGGGGCUAAACCAUGCACCGAAGCUGCGGCAGCGACACUUUAGUGUUGUUGGGUAGGGGAGCGUUCUGUAAGCCGUUGAAGGUGUCCUGUGAGGGGUGCUGGAGGUAUCAGAAGUGCGAAUGCUGACAUAAGUAACGAUAAAGCGGGUGAAAAGCCCGCUCGCCGGAAGACCAAGGGUUCCUGUCCAACGUUAAUCGGGGCAGGGUGAGUCGACCCCUAAGGCGAGGCCGAAAGGCGUAGUCGAUGGGAAACGGGUUAAUAUUCCCGUACUUGGUGUUACUGCGAAGGGGGGACGGAGAAGGCUAUGUUGGCCGGGCGACGGUAGUCCCGGUUUAAGCGUGUAGGCUGGUUUUCCAGGCAAAUCCGGAAAAUCAAGGCUGAGGCGUGAUGACGAGGCACCACGGUGCUGAAGCAACAAAUGCCCUGCUUCCAGGAAAAGCCUCUAAGCAUCAGGUAACAUCAAAUCGUACCCCAAACCGACACAGGUGGUCAGGUAGAGAAUACCAAGGCGCUUGAGAGAACUCGGGUGAAGGAACUAGGCAAAAUGGUGCCGUAACUUCGGGAGAAGGCACGCUGACACGUAGGUGAAGUGAUUUACUCACGGAGCUGAAGUCAGUCGAAGAUACCAGCUGGCUGCAACUGUUUAUUAAAAACACAGCACUGUGCAAACACGAAAGUGGACGUAUACGGUGUGACGCCUGCCCGGUGCCGGAAGGUUAAUUGAUGGGGUCAGCGCAAGCGAAGCUCCUGAUCGAAGCCCCGGUAAACGGCGGCCGUAACUAUAACGGUCCUAAGGUAGCGAAAUUCCUUGUCGGGUAAGUUCCGACCUGCACGAAUGGCGUAAUGAUGGCCAGGCUGUCUCCACCCGAGACUCAGUGAAAUUGAACUCGCUGUGAAGAUGCAGUGUACCCGCGGCAAGACGGAAAGACCCCGUGAACCUUUACUAUAGCUUGACACUGAACAUUGAGCCUUGAUGUGUAGGAUAGGUGGGAGGCUUUGAAGCGUGGACGCCAGUCUGCGUGGAGCCGACCUUGAAAUACCACCCUUUAAUGUUUGAUGUUCUAACGUGGACCCGUAAUCCGGGUUGCGGACAGUGUCUGGUGGGUAGUUUGACUGGGGCGGUCUCCUCCUAAAGAGUAACGGAGGAGCACGAAGGUUGGCUAAUCCUGGUCGGACAUCAGGAGGUUAGUGCAAUGGCAUAAGCCAGCUUGACUGCGAGCGUGACGGCGCGAGCAGGUGCGAAAGCAGGUCAUAGUGAUCCGGUGGUUCUGAAUGGAAGGGCCAUCGCUCAACGGAUAAAAGGUACUCCGGGGAUAACAGGCUGAUACCGCCCAAGAGUUCAUAUCGACGGCGGUGUUUGGCACCUCGAUGUCGGCUCAUCACAUCCUGGGGCUGAAGUAGGUCCCAAGGGUAUGGCUGUUCGCCAUUUAAAGUGGUACGCGAGCUGGGUUUAGAACGUCGUGAGACAGUUCGGUCC
rnacentral:rRNA from 1 species